AACGCACAUUGCGCCCUUUGGUAUUCCGAAGGGCAUGCCUGUUCGAGCGUCAUUAUCACCCCUCAAGCCCCGUGCUUGGUGUUGGACGGCUUCUGGUCGAGUGACAUCGACCCCUCCUAAAGACAAUGACGGCGGCCUGUGGGACCCCCGGUACACUGAGCUUUUAACCGAGCACGUAUCGGAUGAGGGUGCCCCAGGUCACGGUCCUGCUUCCCUUAAGUGGGAAAACUUUUUCAAGGUUGACCUCGGAUCAGGUAGGAAUACGCGCUGAACUUAA
rnacentral:misc_RNA from 1 species